rnacentral:rRNA from 1 species
UACGUAGGGUGCAAGCGUUAAUCGGAAUUACUGGGCGUAAAGCGUACGCAGGCGGCUUGAUAAGACAGGUGUGAAAUCCCCGGGCUUAACCUGGGAACUGCAUUUGUGACUGUCAGGCUAGAGUUUGUCAGAGGGGGGUGGAAUUCCACGUGUAGCGGUGAAAUGCGUAGAUAUCUGGAGGAACACCGGUGGCGAAGGCGGCAUCCUGGACCGGCAUUGACGCUGAGGCGCGAAAGCCAGGGGAGCAAACGGG